CAUAUAUAUAAAGCUCCUCCUGGAAAUAUCAGGAGUCUUUCAGGAGAUUUCUGCAAGUUUGAAAGCUCUUUAUGUCGACUUUUAACAGUCAUGGACGUGAUCUCAGUGACGUCAUCCAUUGGAUUCAAAACGAUGGCAAUGGCCAUAUUGGAAAUGCUGUCUAAGCUAUCUUUUGGCCGGGGCUGACGGGCACCUUUACUCUCCUGACAAACGACCACAGCGUGCCAACCUGUAAGUCAACUUAGCCACACCCCUAAUUUGAAUAACUCUUAUCCUUAAUAUAUCCAAAGUAAAUGCAAAUCUCCCCAAGUGCUUAACAUGACAUGUUUAUUUUCUGCUGUAAAAGGGGUGUUUUUACAUGAGGGGGGUUUAAUAAUACUGUGAAAAAUCAUGGAUGAAGCACCACACUUUAUUUCUGAACGGGUCUUUGGAAUCUGAUUGAUGGCGGUCGCCACGCUGGAAAUGCUGUCUCAACCUAACGACAGGCUAAGAGCUGAGGCGGGUUUUAAGCCUGCCGACGAACAGCUGCAACGCCCCCCCGUCUGUCAAUCAGUUACAUGUAGUCUUACACUGACCUGAACCACUGCAUGAUGUCAACUGUCAGGUCCUUCAAAGAAAAAAGCUCAUCUCUAAGGCACAAGAGAAACCUUUCAUCUGAUCGACACAUGGAUUUCAGGAUGGAGAGGGAGGAGGAGGACAGCAUCGGGGCAGAUGAUUGGACCCAGGCAUCAAACAGAGGAAAGGGGCCAGGUCGAGUCUCCCUACAUCCCAGAAGUUUGCUGGAGUUGGGAUCUAAACAUCAUUGAGUGACGGCACAUUCAUCAUCAUGUAUCUUUAAUCAUGAAACAUUUAAAAUAAUGAAUGAUUUUUUUAAAAUCUUUCUGUUCAAGCUGUUUAUACCAGAUGACACGCUGGCUGGCUUCUACCUUUAACAUCAGAUGCAACAACUGUUUUGUUGUUGUUGUGUUUUGAUUAAUGUGAAAGAAAAGCAUUUAUUGGAUCUUGUUACAUUUAUGUACAAACUUUUCAGUCUGCAUUUACAAACUGUCUGUCUUGGGUGAACCUCACUGCAUUUGUGUUUGGGAAUUUUGAGACUCCCCUGUCGUGAUUCAAAUUCACAAAUACAUUUUUUUCAGCAGAGAAAUGUCUGCAGCCAAUCAGAUGUCUCCUUCCUAUUAGUGCUGGGCGAUAUAUCAUGAAGCUCGAUUCGAUCGAUAUUUAAUUAAUGCUUGAUAUGGAAAAGGGAACAUCGAUUUUAUUUUUAAACUACUUCCAAGUUUUCUUUCUUGCUUCUUUUGUCGAAGAUUUCGUUGCUCCGUGAGAUUUCCGCAGCAGCGCUUGUUGCGCGGAGACGAAAGGGCGGAGGAGACUUCACUCCUGCCGCUGAGUAGCCCAGCUCUUAAAAGCGACCAACACGGAGGAGAAAGAUGCGAGCGAGGUCGAAUUACUUCCAAAAAAAGGCUCAUAACGCAGGGCUCGACAUUAUAAUUGACAGAGUCCAGCUGAUUGCACGUUCAGCUGGCGGCUUCACUGCGUUUGGUAAAACGGUUUUAAAACCAUCAGAUCCCGACAAAAGCCGAGCUUAAAUCAGCAUUCAAGGAAUAGAAAUCACCGGAAAAGUCGAGAGUGACAGCAGGGCGAAAACAGAACGGAGAAAAGUUAGAUCCACAGUGACAGACAGCUGGAGGAGCUGGAACACGUUAAAGUUGAAGACUAGAUCCUGGUAAAGAUCAAAGUUAUUCACAAAGCACCUUAGCCCUGAAGAGAGCUCCUAAAGAUCUAAAGAUGAAGAGUUUCUCACAGAGAAGAAAGAAGGAGAGAUUCCAGAUCUAUCACAGCCUCAUAUUAAUAUCAGAUUAAGUAGACUCUUACAGCAUGGUGAAUAAACAUGAGCACAUAGAUAUAAGAAAAAUACAAGUUUAAAUAUUUAAUAAAAGUUGUUAUUGACUUUUGCAUCAGAAUGGUUCAGGAGUAAAUCGGUGACUGUUAUUUUUCUAAUCAAAGGUAAUGUUCCUGAGCCAGUGAUCACAGUGGUCAGGUCAGUGGUAUUUUCUUUUUAUACAGUGGAGAUUCAGUUUUAUAGGCUACAUUUAUAAACUUUAAUACGAUAAAUAUUGAAUAUCGACAUUAGGCAAAAAAAUAUUGUGAUAUCAAAUUUAGGCCAUAUCGCCCAGCACUACUUCCUAUUCAGCCAAUCAAGACAUACCCACCUUUAUUUCAAUAGAGGAACGAUAAACCACUUUCCAUGUUUUUUUCAAACAAUGCUAAACUUGAGAGGAUACUUUUCAAGGCGGCUUCAGGUGUAAAUGUUAAUCAAAUAUUUUGGCGAUGUAAUCUCUCCUUUUGUAUAAAGGUAUAUACACCUGUAGGAGCCAUCAUAUGUAUGUUUUAUCUCUGCUUUGCUCCUAAUAGGUCAUUUGCAGUGGGGUGGUCUUACCUUGUAAUUAUAUAAAUAAGAUGUGUGGUGAGAGAGUUUGAAUAUUUUCUGUUGACCGUCACCUCUUUUGUUUAAUAAAUCAACAAUACCAUCUGUUAAGCCAA